CCUACGGGAGGCAGCAGUGAGGAAUAUUGGUCAAUGGACGAGAGUCUGAACCAGCCAAGUAGCGUGAAGGAUGACUGCCCUAUGGGUUGUAAACUUCUUUUAUAUGGGAAUAAAAUGUUCCACGUGUGGGAUUUUGUAUGUACCAUAUGAAUAAGGAUCGGCUAACUCCGUGCCAUCAGCCGCGGUAAUACGGAGGAUCCGAGCUUUAUCCGGAUUUAUUGGGUUUAAAGGGAGCGUAGGUGGAUUGUUAAGUCAGUUGUGAAAGUUUGCGGCUCAACCGUAAAAUUGCAGUUGAAACUGGCAGUCUUGAGUACAGUAGAGGUGGGCGGAAUUCGUGGUGUAGCGGUGAAAUGCUGAGAUAUCACGAAGAACUCCGAUUGCGAAGGCAGCUCACUGGACUGCAACUGACACUGAGGCUCGAAAGUGUGGGUAUCAAACAGGAUUAGAUACCCGAGUAGUC
rnacentral:rRNA from 1 species